CCUUAGGCCGUCCUGUGUGUUGCAGCCGUUUGAAUGGAGGGUGGGGAGACAGCCAUGGAGGCCUCGAAGCUGCUGCAGGGCUUUGUGAAGGACAAAAUGGCGAAGGCGGGCGGUGCCGGCGGCCGUCUCUGUGAUGAGAACUUUUUCACAGACCUGUACCGAGUUCCGUGAGGAUAAGAAACUCUGAGACUGGCCUUGCACAGCCGAUGCAGUCAUUGUUCCGGGAAACAAAGCGUUAGCGAAAUCCUUAGUGCUGACCGAAUGUCCUCUUUGUGUGCAGGGUUCAGGCCCACGUUUGACCGCUCGGGAACCUGAAACCCGUCUUUUCACAGUAUGGUUCAGUUCAAAAGCACUGACAGGUUGGAGGAGGGGACAAGAUCUGUCCCUGCGCAAGUCAAUCAUUGCAGUGAUUCUCUGCAUCUCAUCACCAAUCCUGAGGAAUUCAACUGCCUCCCUGAGUGACUAGAGGUUUCCCUGGUGAUGAUAUGUUUAUCUAUGUUAAUGGUCUCCAUUGAUCUGUUCAGGGUUUAACUCAUGGAAAGAGUUGGGGUGGAGCAGCUGGGUCCUGUAUACUACUGAAAAGCCUCCAGAGUUAAAAGAUACUGUUACCAGUAACCUGUUUGUCAACUCAGAGAUUCAGCUCCUUCCCUGGAGCCCAAGAAUGAUCUGAGGGAAAGUGUAAGCUGUAUUUCUGCUCAACUUCUGCCUGAAGUUGGAGGUCUGAGGAAAGAACUAAGCAUGUAUAAUGGUAAGUAUUUGCUCACAUGUUGCUGUUUUA